rnacentral:rRNA from 1 species
UGGCUCCCACGUCCAAGGAUGGCAGCAGGCGCGAAAAUUGUCCACUCUUUUGAGAGGAGACAGUUAUGAAACGUGAGUAGAAGGGUCGAGUGUAAAAACCUUGACGUGAAGCAAUUGGAGGGCAAGUUUUGGUGCCAGCAGCCGCGGUAAUUCCAACUCCAAGAGUGUCUAUGGUGGAUGCUGCAGUUAAAGGGUCCGUAGUCGUAGAUGCAAUUAAAAGGUGGUGUUAAAAGCCAUUGAGUUUGUUGAGAGUAGCGGAACGGAUAGGGAGCAUGGUAUAGGUGGGCAAAGAAUGAAAUCUCAAGACCCCACCUGGACCAACGGAGGCGAAAGCGAUGCUCUUAGACGUAUCUGGGGAUCAAGGACGAAGGCUAGAGUAUCGAAAGUGAUUAGACACCGCUGUAGUUCUAGCAGUAAACUAUGCCGACAAUGCUGGGUGUUGCGAGAGCGAUGCUUGGUGUGGGAGAAAUCUUAGUUUUCGGGCUCU